AUUUUUAAACAAUCUAAAAUUUGAACUGCAUACGGCUCUUCUCCUUCAAUCACCAACAUCGCCCUAAUUCUCUCUCUCCUGUUCAGAUGGUGGCGGGCUAUCAAAGGCAACCAGCACCUACACAGAUUUUUCUUCCAUCUCUGUCAUUCUUUCUUCGAUCUGGAAUUUUGUGAUUUUGACCUUCACCCGAUUGAUACUUUCUGCGGAGAAUUGAAGGCCUAGGCUAGAAAUUCAAUUGCUUUGCAUUGUUUGGUAUUGAUGAAAAGUAGGGUCAUCGCCCUAAUUCUCUCUCUUCUCUUCAGAUGGUGGCCGGCCAUCAAAGGCAACCAGCACAUACACAUGAGACAAUUUUUCUCCCAUAUCUGUCAUUAUUUCUUCGAUCUGGAAUUUUGUAAUUUUGAGCUCCACCCUGAUUGAUAGUUUCUACGGAGAAUUGAAGGCCUAGGCUAGAAAUUCAAUUGCUUUGCAUCGUCUGGUAUUGACGAAAAGUAGGGUUAAUGUGAUUUUGGUGGCUCGUGUGAGAAUGUUGUGAAUUUGAUGCUUCCGUUUUCGACGGAGACGCUGAGUUCGGGUUUGAAGUCGCAGUAGAUUCUUUAAUAGACACGAAACUCAGUUUCCUUCGAUGACUUCCACAGAUUCUCAGCAUAAUUUCUUAGUGAAGGGAAACGCCUCUUCAAUAUCAUAAAACGAUCUUCCAACAAUUUUGAAGUUAUGACAGGGGCAACGAAGAAACGAGCAAAGGCAUCAGUUUCAAGUCACAAUGGAAAUAAAUCUAAAUCUAGCUCCAAGGUAGAUUAGAUUGUCUACAACGACACUAGAUGGUUGGCAUUCCUGUGUACAAAUGGAGUUGAGCUACAAUAGGAAAUUAUUCAUGUACAAGUUGGCAUUUAUGCCAUGUAUAUUUAUUUAUUUAUUUACGUAUAAUUGAAAAUUUUAUUAUACAAUUAUGUUAUGAUACAAAGAACAAAUAAUUUUUAACUUGGGAUGUAUUCUAUUCAUAUUAAUGUGUUCUAGUGAAGAUCAUUCAUUCUUGGUUUAU